rnacentral:tRNA from 1 species
GCUUAUGUAGCUCAGUGGUAAAGUGCUUGCUUAGCACGUAUGAGACCCUAGGUUCAAUCCCCAGUAUGGGAA